GGUGCCGGUUGGGACCGAGUUGCCCCUGGGAAAGUUCUGUCCUCAGCCCUCGCACUUGUCUGGGGGGUGCCUCCGAACCUCUCGACUGAGACUUGGGUGAAGGAGGCCUGAAACAGCCGGAGACUCGUUCGGGGACCCCUAGCAAGAACUGUCCGUUCUGGACCCUGGUUUUAACUCCAUCUUUGGUGUUCUUUGGCUCACCAAUAAUUAAUUGUCCUUUUAGCCGCCCAGCGGGCUUACCCUGCAGAGAGAUUUCACCCAAGGAAACUAGAAACUUGGGUAAUCAGGUGUCAGCAGAAGCAGUGCAGUGAAAGUUAAUCUGGGACGUUUGCUUUUUUUAUUUAACCACGUGACAGGCUGAGGCUCCUCUGGUGAUCUUUGCCGGCCCAACUUGGGAAAUGUAAUUGAUAGGGGAGCUUUGCAGCCACCCCUAGAAGGUUCAUAGAGCCCAGCCGGAAGAGGACCUGGGCGGGCCAUCGCGUUUCUCCUCAUUUUACAGUUGGGGAUAGAGGCUGCGAGGGGUGAGCGGCUUGUACAGGACCACGCAGCCAGCGGGUGACAGAGCCACCCAGGGCUCCUGACUCCAGGUCCUGUGUGUUACCUCGAAAUAGCACUGGACUUGGAGUCAGAAGGCCUGAGUGGAGUCGCCUUCCCCACUCUCUGGCUGGGUGACCCCAGAGCAAGCCAUUUUAACUCUCCGAGCCUCCUUUCCUCCAUCUGUCAAAUGGGGCUGGUGUUGCCGGCAAGAGAAGAGGAGGUCGAGGUGGUGGGGACUUUUUUUUAAUAUCGGUUGCACAAAAAUGGAGUCUUCAUCAUAUAUUCAUUGUAACUUGGAAUCAUAUUGUUGUAAUUUGCUUUUUUUCUCCUCCAAAUAUGCUGUGAUUGUCUUUCCACAUCAAUAAAUAUUCUACUUCAUGUCUUAAUAUCUGAAUGGUUAUAUAGUGUUUUAUUGAGGGUUUGAACCACAAUGUAUUUGAUCAGCCCUUUGUUGUUAGUCAUUUAAUUUGUUUAUAAUUUUUGUUGUUGUUCUUGUAAGCCACGCUGAAAUGAAUGUCUCUGCAUGUCUUCUUUCCUUCAUUUAAAUUCCUAGAAGUGAAAUUACUCUGUCAAAGGAAAUAUGCAGGCGUUUGGUAAACACAUUUCUGGAUUGCCUUCUAGAAGGAUUGUGCUAAUUUACACACUUACCAGCAUUGUGUGGGAAUGCCUGGUUCCCCAUAGCCAAAUAACUCUUGGUAUUUUAAUUGUUUCUCAUUUUUACCAGUUUGUUCAUCAAUAAAUUCUUUUACCCUUUUGU